rnacentral:lncRNA from 1 species
CAGGCAGGUGCCUGUGUGCUGCUGUGUAGGUGCAGGCAUACCAGGAAUGUGGUGGCAAGCGUGAUUUACUGCCUCGAUGGGACUGAUAGCCUGUGCCAGCAAGUUCACUCUGCUGCAUAGAAGGCCUGGACUGCCUUCAUGCCAGUGCAUCCACGUUAAGCAAAUUGUAUCUAUCACAAGUUAAAGUUAAGAAGGAAACCAUGUUUUCCAGAUUCAGGUGGAAAUCAUUCACUGUCGCUUUGCUGAAAGGCUCUUUCUGUGUUGUGUUGUAGCAGUUGGCCACCUGCACCCUCCUUCUCUGCCCCUCUUAGGCUUGUGGUGACCAUGCUGAAGAUACAGUUGUUGCUGCGCUUAGUAUAGGUGCAGUCUUCCACUGGAUGGGAGAUGAUUUUCUGUUUAAGGUUCAUGCUUCUGUUUCAAAAUCUGUAGGUCCCAGUUGAUUUACUGAGGCGAAACUGAAUCAAAUUAUAGGACGCGACUUUGCAAACAUGUUUUGAUUGCUGGGAGCUACAGAGCUCAUUUUGGGUAGUGUGCUAGUGUGUAAAAGGAAGGUGUUUCUCAAAUGUGCUUUUGUAAGUAUGUUUCCCACUGCUGACUAGUUAAGUUAGAAGUCAGUGCACUGAAUUAUCAUAGAGUAGAUUUUGGCCAUUAAUUGUAGUGGAAUGCAGAGUAAAUGAAGGCUUAGGUUUAUAGCCUGCCCAGAACUAGAGGGUGUAUCUUUAAAUUCUGGAACAUCUCUGGUCUCUCACUGGCUGACAGUAUGUCUUGUUAUCCGCUUCUAGAGUACGGCUCCCUUCCGUAAGGCCUUAAGCAUAUGUGUUGAUCAGCCGGAAGUUAACAAUUUUGAAUUAAACUGAAUGGUGUUGCUGCAGGGAGCCUCUGGGAGCCCAAGGGUGGAGAGAUCUACCUUCAUCUGAAGAUCUCUGCUAAAGGUAAAGACCUCCUAACAGGCCAGACAGCCUUAGCAGGAGUUCAGAAGUCUUACACCAAGAAUCCUUUAGAGCAUUACAUUCCCCUGUUCGGAGUGUGGACAAGUGUUUGGCAUUCUGCUUCUACAGAUCGCUGCCGCUCGUGGAGCGCAGAGGGGACGGCGAGACUCCUGCAUCUUUCAGCGAGAAGAAAGAAGCCAGCGGAGCAGACUAAUACGGACUUGUGUCGGGUGCCCUUGCACUACAAAGGCUGCCUUUAAAAGAGGAACGCAGUGCUAUUUAAUGAGCUGUGAGAUGAGGCACUGCUGCUAACGCUCAGAUCCCAGGAUUCAUCGGCUAUUCAUUGUGCUUAAUGUACAUGUUUCUGCACCGUGCAUUUAGGAGAUCCCAGAGAAGAAUCCAAAACGGCUG